GUAUUUCCCUACAUUAGGGAGCACGCCUGGAAAGUGUGUAUACGGCAACGUAUCGGGGGUUCGAAUCCCCCCCUCACCGCCA
rnacentral:tRNA from 1 species